rnacentral:Y_RNA from 1 species
UGCUUGUCUCUUGAAGGUAGGCAUUGUAUAAUCAAAGGUAUAUUACCAGUCAGUUACAGAUUGAACUCCUUGUUCUACUGCUUAACCCCCCUCCUCACUACUGCACUUGACUAGUCUAAA